UUUUUUUGUGAUAAUACGUUUUUGUUAAUGUAAUUUAAAUUAUUAUUUUUUUUGUAUGAAUGAAUGUUGUUUAUUCUCUCUUCUAUCGGACUUUUGAUGAUGAGGUAUCACUCCGCCAGAAAAGUAGAGACCUGUGUAUGUGUUUCAUGUUUCCAACAAAGGGCUUCAUCUUCCUGAAUCAUUUAUCCUCCGUGAGGCCGGCGAGGGGAGAACAGAUGUUUCCACGGCGACAGAAGCAGCCAGAUGUUGAUUCAACCGCAGAAGAGGAGAUCAUGGAUGAAGGCAACAAAGGCGGAAGAGCAGAAUGUGGUCGGCCUUACAAGGCCUGACGUUGACAUCGCCAUGGAGACCAGCAGGAAAGAGGCCCGGUCGGCGUGUGUUUGUUGGAAAAGAAGAGAAGCUGCGUUGUCGUCAUGUUUUUGACGACAACGCACAAAAGAUAUAAAAGCUUCACAUGGAAAACAACUAUUUUUUUUUUUUUUAAAGUCUACUCUCUCCCACACACAAAUUCUUGUAUUUCUGACCUACUUCAUGGUGGCAGCGGUGGGAUAAAGAGAUCACCCACGGAGCAGAACGGGAGGGGGAGUUGUCCGAGUAUAAUUCUGUCGUCGCCCGCACUUGAGAAGGCGAGCUAACUGAUAGCAGCAGUCUGAUAGCAGUUUUCUAAACCGGACUUUCAAUCGAAGCAGGAUGUAAUAAAGGACGAUCUCCAUCGAGACAGAGAGACUUUUAAAACUGAAGAAAGAUAAGGAAGACUUCUAUAAACAAGUUAUCGAUGCUUUUGAUCAGAAGGAUCUGUGCAUGGACUUCAUUUAUAAGUAAAGGAACCGAAGACGAGAGAGGGGGGAGAACCCUGAAAUUUCCAAUCAGCUACGGCACGUUCAACUGUUGCGUAGCCGCAUGUGUCUCUGGUGAACGGCUGCGGCUGUAGGCAACCCCCUGGCGUUACCGACUAUCCAGGCUGCGUUUGAAGUGCGAGGAGCUCUGCAUGCGCUUUAAAACGCUGCCGCAAUAACGCUGAGUCGGCAUCUGGGCUGCUCUCCCAACACCGUGCUAAACAGCGGCAAUAAUCAGGGAGCGUUCUGGGAAACGAU